CAACUUUCAUUUUUUUUUCUACAAAGAUAUAUAGUUUUUCAAUCAAAAACUUCCAAAAAAAUUUGUUGUUUUAGGUAAGAGCAUCUAAUAAAUUCUUGCAUACCGUAAUUGAUGGUGCUAAAAGAUUCAUCGUUUGUUUUUGAAGUAGAAAAUAUAGUUGUGGAGGAUUUCAAUUAGAUGAAAUAGCAUGUUCUCAUGCUAUGACUGCUACGUAUAGAAACCAAUAUGACGAGAACUAUUGCGUAUCGUACUAUAGCAAUAAAAAAAUUUGAGAUACUUAUGCCAUACCAGUUGAACUUCUUCCUUGUAAAAGUACGUGAAAAAUGUCACAUGAAGUAUUGGAUGAAAUUGUAUUGCCAUCGAAUUCAAAAAGGUCUAUCGGAAGGCCAUGUCUUGAAAGAUGAAAAGCACCAAACAAAGACAAGUGUAAAAGACAUGUAGUAGUUGCCAUCAAGAGGGACACAAUAAGACAACAUGCCACAAACAUGCACCUCCAGCUUAAGUUGGAAUCUAUAUUUUCUAUUUUAUUCUAGUGUUAAAACGUUUCUUGUUUUUUAAUGAUUUUUGUUCCUGGAUAUUAUUUUUUUAAAAUAUCAAUUAUAUAUCAUUUCUGGAAAGUUACUUCUAAUAUUUUCACAAUUUAUAUUGAAUAA